ensembl:lncRNA
CUCGAGCACGAGGCCGGUAGCCGAGGUGGCCCCGGGUGAGACCCGGGCCCCGCAGGCGGCUCAUGCGUGGGUGACCAGGGCUGGGGAGCAGCGAGCUCGGGCCGCAGCGCAGAGUCGCGGCAGGGAGGAGCAGGGGAGGCCGGCCCCGGAGAAGUCGGCUCCGGAGAGGCGUUACGCAACGACCCCGCACCGACCGCCGGACGGACGGCGCGGCCGGGGACAGGACACCGGGCGGGGGCCGCGCCGCCGAGGGCCCGGGAGNNNNNNNNNNNNNNNNNNNNNNNNNNNNNNNNNNNNNCCCCGCCGCCGCCACCCACCGCCCCGCACCCGCCCGGCACCGGCCCGAUGGACUCUCCGAGGCCCGCAGGGCGGCUCGACCGCGGGACCGGGCGGGCGGAGCCCCGUCCCGACAAACUUCCCGGCCGCGGCCCCAGCCUCACCUCCGGGAGCGCUCUACACCCUCGGCGGCGUCCUGGCCCGCGGCUCCGGGACCUCGCGCGCCGGGAGACCGGGCGCCGGCGGCGGCAGUGGUUGCUGACCCCGCAGGGUCGGGGUAGCCCGGGGAAGCAGCGGUGGCGGCGGCGCUGGCGGCGGAGGCUCCAUCUUCCCGGGGCGCUCACGCCGCGGUUCCGACGCGCAGACCCGAGCGGGACAUUCGCUACAUUGUUGGCAUUCCACGGGCGUCACGUGACCCCUCCUCCCGCGUCACUCCCGGCCGCAUACCAGCCCGGGCGGGGCGCCCGCGGCCUUGCUCCCCGGCGCCCGCUCCGCCCCGCCGGCCGCUUCCUGCACCUCCCGGCCCGGCCGCCACCUGCCCUGCGGUGGAAGUCCGCAGCCCGGGAGCGCCGCUUCUCCCUAGCGCCUUGUAGCAGUGGGUUAAAAAAAAAACAGAACAGUACGGACCCUCCAGCGAGACUGGCGUUUACACUUCGGCCACUCCUUUAGCCUCCAUUUGGGGAUUUGGUCCAGGGACAGACGCUGAGAAGAAAUAACAGCGUGGAAGCCAAGUCCUCCAUUUACUAUUGGCUGUCUAACAUCACACUUCCCACCACCUACGGUCUGUGCCUGACCCUGUGUGCUUACACUGACAUCUUGCACGGUGAUGGGAGCCCAAUACAUCUCCAACAAUUCAGCCUGUGAAAGAGGAGCCCUGAUUGGCCGUCGGUGGUGGCAGCGCAUUUAAUCCCUGCACUCCAGAGGCAGAGGCAGGCGGAUCUCUGAGUUUGAGGCCAACUUGGUCUAUAGAAUUGAGUUCCAAGACAGCCAGGGAUACACAGAGAAACCCUGUCUCAAAAUGAAUAAAUAAAAUAAAAAAGAAAAGUACAUGUAUUGUAGAUUUGACUUCCAAUCUGAAGCCUAUUGGGAGUCUAGUGUAAAUUGAAUCAUAGUAUGGGACCUCUUACUGGCUUUUGAUUCCGGGUUGCCUGUGAGGUGAGCAGCUUUAUCCUAGCAAGAGAACAGAGCCAGCCGGCCACAGACUUACAAAGCUAGGCAACACUUCAUCUCCUUUAAGUUGCUUACUAAUACAAAUGGACUGGGGAGAUGGCUUAGCAGUCCAUUGCUAUACAGUUCUGGCAUCUACAUUGAAAAACCUCACAAAUGCCUGUAACUCCAGUGCCAAGGGAUCCAAUGCCUUGUUCUGGCCUCUGUGGAUGUACACACACACAUACAUACACACAUGUAUACAUAAAACACACACACAAAUAAAUAUGAAUUAAAUCUUAAAACUUUUUUGCACUUGGAGUGACUAAUAUGAUACUGAUUAUAACAGUGAAAAGUCAAGAACAACCUAAGUGUGCACCAACAGAGAAGGACCAACAUUCACAUAGUGCUAUAUGUACAGGAACUAAGAAAUUGGCUUUGUUUUUCCAAAGGAUAAAUGAGAAUUCAGAACCAAUGUGGAAUUGAAAAAAAAAAAACCAAUUUGCAGAACUAUACAUUAUGAUACCAUAUUCACAAAUAAACAGAGCCUUUGGAACCCAUACUAUCAUAUUUUGUGUGAAUAUAAACUCUUACACACCAAAUUCAUGGCAGCUGUGGCCUAUAUAGAAGGAGCAGAAAUUGGACUGAGAGAAAAAUCUUCAACCUAAUCUAUAGCGCUUGAUUGCUUUAAUUAAAAGGAUGAGAGUGGUGGCUGGAGAGAUGGCUCAGUGGUUAAGAGCAUCGGCUGUUCUUCCAUAGUUUGACCAGGGUUCCAUUCCCAGCAACCACAUGGCAGCUCACAGCUGUCUGUGAUCUAGCACCCUUGCUCAAACUAUACACGCAGGCAAAAAUGUCAAUGCAUGUGAAAAUAAAUUUAUCUUUUAUAUGUGUGUUUUUUAGGUUUAUGUAUCUGAGUGUUUUGCUUGAAUGUGGGUGUGUGCAGCAUAUGUGUGCCUGGUGCCCAUGGAGGCCAGAAAAGGGCAUUGGAGCCCUUGGAACUAGGAUGGCUGUGAGUCACAAAGGCUGUAGUACACUAUGCCUUUAAUGUUUUAAAAUACAUGUAUUUGAGAUUAGAGACAAAUUGAAAACAAAUGUCCAAACAGUCAAUCAAAUCAGGCAUUGUGGUGCAGGCCCAUAGUCCCAGCACAAUGAGAUGGAGGCAGGAGGAGCAGAAGGUCUUCUAUGCUAUGUAGUGAAUUCUAGUCCAGCUUUGAGACCCUAUCUUUAAAAUAAUAUUAAUAUAAGUAUAGUCUCUGAAUACAGUGACUUUUUAUAAUAACUUUUGGUAUAUUGAUAGUAGGAUAGCCCACAAAGGAUAUUUUUAAAUUAGCAAACUAUACACACUCACGUGAUGUGUGUAGCUGAGGAGACACAGAGAACACAAGGCCAGUGGAGCACAACAUCAUCUUUAGUGACAAAAUAAUCAAGUGCAGACCCAUACAUUAUUUGUGUGUGCUGUGUUGUAGCCUCCCAUCCAGUGAUGCUCUGGUGCUUCCAGGUUAUCUCAUCCAAUCUGCAAAGUAGCCCUGUUAUCAACCCUUUCUGAUAGAAAAACAACAACUUCGCCAAGUAAUUUGCCCAGGAUCAAAGGGCUGGGAUUUGAAUCUCUGGAGCUCUAGCUGCAGCAGAGCUUAGGAGCACUGAAUUACUAGGCUCUCUUCACAAGAAGUCAUGAUUAUAAUGUACCUAGAGAUAUGGAACAAGCCAAAUUAAACCCCUUUACACUUUCAGUGUUGUUGCUUUGUUGUUGCAUUGCUAGAGGUGGAAACUAGGGCCUCCCAGGUGCUAAGAAGGCCCUCUGCCACUAGGCUAUAGCCCAGCAGUACCUGAAGACUGGAGGAGUGUGUCUGAGAGAAGAGAUGUGUGCCCAGGGAGGAGAGGAGCACAAAAGCCCAGGUCCCUAGUCAGGGCAGAGACAGAAGUCAUAGAUGUGGCUAACACUGGCUGUCC